rnacentral:rRNA from 1 species
GACGAACGCUGGCGGCGUGCUUAACACAUGCAAGUCGAACGGAAAGGCCCUGCUUUUGUGGGGUGCUCGAGUUGCGAACGGGUGAGUAACACGUGAGUAACCUGCCCUUGACUUUGGGAUAACUUCAGGAAACUGGGGCUAAUCCCGGAUAGGAGCUCCUGCUGCAUGGUGGGGGUUGGAUAGUUUCGGCGGUUGGGGAUGGACUCGCGGCUUAUUAGCUUGUUGGUGGGGUAGUGGAUUACCAAGGCUUUGACGGGUAGCCGGCCUGGGAGGGUGACCGGCCACAUUGGGACUGAGAUACGGCCCAGACUACUACGGGAGGCAGCAGUGGGGAAUAUUGCACAAUGGGCGGAAGCCUGAUGCAGCAAAGCCGCGUGCGGGAUGACGGGCUGCGGUUUGUAAAGCGCUUUCGCCUGUGACGAAGCGUGAGUGACGGUAAUGGGUAAAGAAGCACCGGCUAACUACGUG